AGUUGGUGAGGUAAUGGCUCACCAAGGCGACGAUCGGUAGCUGGUCUGAGAGGAUGAUCAGCCACAUUGGGACUGAGACACGGCCCAAACUCCUACGGGAGGCAGCAGUGGGGAAUAUUGGACAAUGGGCGCAAGCCUGAUCCAGCCAUGCCGCGUGAGUGAUGAAGGCCUUAGGGUUGUAAAGCUCUUUC
rnacentral:rRNA from 1 species